AUCCAGCUGGGAGACGAGUCUGCAAUAGGACGAAAUGCGCAUCCUGGAU
rnacentral:hammerhead_ribozyme from 1 species